CGCCUUGUCUUGUCCUGCGGGCAACUUGUCUCUUCUUCAUUCUAGAGGGGUCAUGACAUUUUUUUUAAAGUAAUGCCAGAUUUACAAAGUGCCACUCGAUGGUGCUCACUUUAACUUGGAGAGAAAUUCAAUACGAUUCCUCUGCAGUUGAAUAGCCUUCCGACCCAUGGCCAUGGACAAAUAGUCAUGAGACAGCCGAGUGAUACCGGCAUCCGAUGUAUAAUAAUAUGGCGGGAAAGGAGAGAAAAUUAGAUGCCAAAAAGAAAGCCUCGCAUUAAGUUUAACCUUAUAAUGAAGAAAUGUAGACCAAAGAGUUUAUAAGCUGAAAAUUACAGCUCAGCCUUCCAAGGGAACAUCUUUUUCACAAAACUGGGACGUAGAAAUUUGGAACUCUUCCUCCUGACCUAACAGAAAAAAAAUCAGUUGAAGUUGGGUGUGAGUUGAAAAUGCCUAAACUGAAACAACUGAUUUUGUUGGUUAAGGAUGUUAAGGGUUACGAAGCUAAGAUUUACUUACAUCGUGAUGUUAUUGUCACAUGACUUCAGUGAGCAAAAAGAUACUAGUCUAGAAUUAGCAUGUGAGCAGAGAGGUCCUGGACGGUGAAUUAGAGAACUGAAUUUGAUAUCUACUAUGUACAGCUAUAAAUAAAGCAGUCUUAAUUCGAGAUAAGCAACAAGCCAUCUCAGGGACAGUGUAUGUGCAGGCAUCGACAGACUGGGUGGCACAGUAGGUGACACUGCUGUCUCAGAGUGUCAGUGACCCAGGUUCGAUUCCAGUGGCUGACUGUGUUUGCAUGUUCUCUCUUUGUCUGCAUAGGUUUCUACCAGGUGCCCCACUUUACUCCCACAGUCCAAAGACUUUUAGAAUACUGCAUAUAAUUCUGGUUGCUGUUCUAUAGGAAGGAUGUUGUUAAACCUGACAGGCUGCAGAAAAGAUUCACAACGAUGUUGGGACUGGAGGUUUUGAGUUAAAUAGGGAGAUGCUGGAGCUUUUCUCCCCAGAGUGUCGGAGGCUGAAGGGUGACCUUUUAGGGAUUUACAAAAUCAUGAGGGGCAUGGAUAGGGUGAAUAGCCAAGGUCUUUUUCCUAGGGUGGAGUCCCAAACUAGUGGGCAUAAGUUUAAGGUGAAAGGGGAAAGAUUUAUAAAGAGCCUGAGGGGUAACACUUCAUGCUGAGGGUAGUGUAUGUAUGGAAACAGCUGCCAGAGGAAGUUGUGGAGGCAGGUACAAUUACAACAUUGUUGAAUGAUGGCUCAGUGGUUAUCACCGCUGCCUCACAGUACCAGGGACCCAGGUUCAAUUAACCCCUCAGGUUACUGUCAUUCUCCCUGUGUUGGCAUGGGUUUCCUGUGGGUGCUCCUGGUUCCUCUCUCAGUGCAAAGGAUGUGCAGGUUAGAUGGAUUGGCUGUGGGAAAUGUAAGGUUACAGAAUAGGGGGUGGAUCUGAGUGAGAUGCUCUUUGGAAGGUUGGUGUGGGCUCGAUGGGCCGAAUGACCUUCUUCAUAUCUUUAGGGAUUCAAUGAUUGUAUGAUUUAAAUGCAUCUGGAUGGUUAUAUGAAUAAAAAGGGUAUAGAGGGAUAUGAGCCAAAUACUGGCAAAUGGGACAAGGUCAGAUUGUGAUGUCUAGUCAGCGUGGACUAGUUGAACCAAAGGGUCUGUAUCCAUGCUGUAUGACUCUGUAUGCAGGUUAGGUAGAUUGGCCAUGCUAAACUAUCCAGAAAUGUGUAGUCUAGCUGGGUUAACCAUGAUAAAUGUGUAGUUACAGAAAUAGGAUGAGGUUAAGUCUGGAUGGGAUGCUCAUUGGAGGUUUAGCCUCCACCUGCACUUCAGGGAUUCAAGAAGAUACUCCAGACCUGGAUCUUAAUGAACAGAUAGCGGUACUGGCUUAAAGCACAAGAUCAAGCAGUGAACUAGAUUCACAAUGCAGUUCAGCAAUGAAUUAAAGAAUUGAACAAUUGAAUGAAGGAAUAAGUUUCUAGCGCUGAAUUGCCUCCUCCAUGUCAUAUCCAUCACAGUUUUGAAGGCUGUAAAUUCAAACCACACUCCAGGACAUCAGUAAAUAACCUGGAUUUUAUUUUAUCUUCAUGUGAAAACCAGCACUUUUUGUCCAUUCCUCAUGACAGCAGUUAAGUCUCAACCACAUGAGGUUUGGAGUCACAUGAUCAGACCAGAAUUCAUAGCUGCCAUGGAAGAAUAUGCACCCAUGUCUCAGAAUACUAGUCCCAUACAUUAGUAUUACAGCUACUACAACUACAUGCUGCUGUGCUUGGAACUCCACUCAUACAACAGAUGAAGGUAUAAUUUUGAAGAAAGCUAUGAGAGGAGCCACAGUCGAACACGGACUAAAAAGGAAGGGGAAGAGAACAUUUGGCAAAUGAUUAAAUAAUGAAGCAAAUCGUGUAGACUUUGCUUGGAUUGCUCAAGCCGAGAAGAUUGAAACAUGAUCUCGUUGAGAUCUUUAAACUGAUUACAGGAUCCAUAGGAUAGAUGAAGAGAAACUAUUCCUGCUGGUGGAGAAAUCCAGAACAGAAAGAGGACUCAUUGAAUCCUUACAAUGUGGAAGCAGCACAUUUGACCCAUCGAAUCAACACCAAUCCCUGAAGGGCAUCAUAACCAGACCCAUCCCAUACCCCAUCCCUGUAACCCUGCAUUUUCCAUGGCUGAUCCACAUAGCCUACAUAUCCCUGGACACUAUGGACAAUUUAGCAUGGCCAAUCCACCUAAUCUGCACAUCUUUGGAUUGUGGGAGGAAACCAGACCACGCAGAGGAAACACACGCAGACCCAGGGAGAAUGUACAAACUCCACACAAACAGCCACUUGAGGGUGGAAUCAAACCCAGGUCCCUGGCGCUGUGAAGCAGCAAUGCUAACAACUGAGCCACUAUGCCACCCAAAAUAAAUGGGUCUUUCUCCCACAUGGCAGGCAUGAACUUAUGGGAUACCACAGAGAUCAGUACUAGAACCCCAGUGAUUCCCACUAUAUAUUAGUGAUUUAGAUGAGGGAACUAAAUGUAAUUUCUACAAAUUUGCAGAUGACACAAAGCUGCUGUAGUGUGAUUUGGACCAGCUGAGUGAAUGGGCAAGUGCAUGGCAAAUGAAAUUUAGUGUAGAUAAUUAUGAGUUUAUCCGCUUUUGUAGCAAAAAUGGGAAAGCAGAUUAUAAUCUGAACAGCUUUAAUUUGAGAGAGGUACUGUGCAGCUAGUCCUGGGUGGCCUUGUACACCAGUCAUUGAACGUAAACAUGCAGGUGCAGCAGUCGGCAAAGAAGGAAAAUGGUAUUUUGGCCUUCAUAGUGAGCGGAUUCAAGUACAAGAGAAUAGAUUUCUUGCUGCAUUAUGCAAGGCCUUGGUGAGACCACAUCUGGAAUAUUAUGUGCUGUUUCAAUCUCCUUAUCCGAGGAAGCAUGUUCUUGCUAUGAGGGAGUGCUACACAGGUUUAGAAGACUGAUUCCUGAGGUGACAUGAUGAAUAUAUGAGGAGAGGUUGAAUCAGUUAGGAUUAUAUUCACUAGAAUUCAAAAGAAUGAAGCGGGGAGUCUCAUGGAAGCAAAUUAACUUCUCAUGAGACUAGACGGGGUAGAUGCUGAAAAAUGUGCUCAAUGGAUGGGGAGUCUAGAACUAGGGCCACUGUCCGGGGAUAUGGGAUAAUCCAUUUAGGAGUGAGAUGAGGAGAAAUUUCUUCACCUAGAAUCUGUGGGAUUUGGUGUCAAAAGCACAGAAAUCAGUUGAGGCCAACACAUUGCAUUAUUUCAGCAAGGCAGUGGAUAUAACAUUUGGGGCUAAAGGGAUCAAAGGACAUGGGGAAAAGCAGGAACAGGCUAUCAACCUGGAUGAUUAACCUAUGAUCAUAAUGAGUCACCAAGCAUUCUCAAAGGUCCAAAUGGUCUACUC